UUAUAGGUGGAUUUCAUGUAUCUUAGAAAAUGUUAAUUACAAUAAAUUAAAUGAAAAGGACCACUAUAAUUUGGACAUAAUCAGUAAGAAAUAAGAAUAUGGGAUGCAAUUAAGGUCUGUUGCUAGUAGAUAAUUUGCAAGCCAAACUUGAUUAGUCAUAAAAAUGUGUAUGCCUACGACCAGCCCAAACUUGAUGUUACUUCAUAAGGAUGCGGCA
rnacentral:lncRNA from 1 species